rnacentral:sRNA from 1 species
CGCUUCCCCCAGGGCAACAUCUAGGUUCUUAGGAAACUUCAUUUGUUGUGAAAAUCGGAAAUGAAAAGACAGUUGGUGACAAACUCCCUUCUCCAUCACCUCCUUAUUGGACAGAAACGACCCAGGAAUGCGCCUCGAAAGCCAAAGAAGAAAAAGAGGAAGAGGAAGAGGAAGAAGAAGAAGAAGAAGAAGAGGAAGAGGAAGAAAAAGAAGAAGAAGAAGAAGAAGAAGAAGAAGAAGAAGAAGAAGAAUGCAGCAGUAGGUUGUUUACAGAUUGGUCACGAGUCUUGGCAAGAAAGUCUGAAGAUGGGACCAGCUGCACAUGUUUUACCCUAAGAGCUUGCUAUAUAAAGGAUACUUUCUGGAAGGCUGGUUUGAGGAUUCAGUCUUGCAGCCACCUGAGACAUCACUUCUGUUCGAGAAACCAGGAGCUCUAAGAGAAUGUAUAAUGAGAACUUCUAUGUGUGGAGAGUUAAACAAGAAGCUGUCUCAUCCCAGGGAAGACAAAGAGAAAAUGGCGGAUCUGGGCUUGAAGUGCACACAGUGUUGGAAAAGGCCCCACCUAACGCUCUAGGACCAGCAGUCCCUGAGAAGUAGCUGUGUGUAGGAUUAAGACAAGCUGACCGCGGAGAGCUGUGACAUUGGGCAUUCAAGCAUGAAGCAUUGUUGGCCCAGAGAAGGUGCACAAGCAUUCUCCCUCAGAGAACCAUGGUGUUCCAGAGCCAGAGAGGGAUGGAGAGCUUCCACAAUCCUUGUGAAGAUCUGUUAUCCUAACACCAAUAUAUCCCCUUCAAGAAAAUAGUGGCCCCCUCUAAAUUGUCAAUAUAGCAAAUUGGCUCCCAUAGUAUAUUGAAACACUAUUACCACCUUGGGGAUUCUUUUUCAAAUUACAAGCUUGAUUUAAUAUAAAAUCUAAUGAUUAAUACAUUAGAUUAAAAUGAAGAAAGGACUCUUGUAAUUAUCUCAGAAGGCAUUGACAAAAUUCAUCAGCCAUUCACACGAUAAAAGUUAGAAAACCAUGAAGAGAGAAAAUGUUCUUAAUAUUUUAAAGAACAGAUAUAAAAAACCAAAAGCCAGCAUUAGAUUUAACAGUCUAGAAAGUUCUAUUAAUGGGAGAAUCCAAUGUCCUCUUUACUACUGUUGUUCAGUGUUGCUCUGGAAGUCCUAACCAGGACAAUAGGGUGAAAAGAAGAAAUAAGGGAGAAGUAAAGGAAGUAAGCAAUGGAGUCAAAAUGAUCAUUAUUUGCAGAUAUUAUGAUUUUCUUUUCAUAAUAUCCAAGAGAAUCAAUUGAAAAAUGAUUAUGACCAGUAGGAGAAACCAGUAGGAUGGAGCAGAGUAGAAUAAAUUCAUAUAUGUAUAUAGAUUUUAAUAGCUUUUAAGAGUGCUAAGUCACAACUGAUUGGAAAAUGUGAUGAAAACAAUUUACCAUUCACGAUAAUGGUGAAACAUUAAAAAUAUCUAGAAAUGAAUUUUGAGUACAUCAAAAGCCUAUAAACUUUUUUCUUUUUUAUUUCCUUUUUCUUAUCCUACUGGUGGUGAGAACAAAGGGCCUAUGAACUUUGAUCUAGGAUAGAUUUAAAAGAAGACAAAAGGUAUGCAGGCAUAUGUCAUGUUUCUAGAAAAAUCAAUAUUUUAAAUUUAUUAGUAAAUUCAAUGCAAUUCCAAACAAAAUUCGUUUGGGUGGGAGGAACUGACAAGAUGAUUCUAAGGAUCAACUGAAAAGUAAGUAUGAAAAAAACCCACAAAUAUUGGAUUAAGAGACUAAUAAAGUAAAAUUUGCCUUAUAAGUAUCAAAGUAUGCAAUAGAGCUAAAAUUAAGAGUGUGAUAGCAGCAUAGGAAAAGACAAAUAUGUUAGUGGAACAAAAGAGAGUCCAUAGCAUGAGAUAAAGAAAACAUUUUAAUUCAGGGAAUAAAAGGUAGUUUACUCAAUAACUCAUGUUGGGGCCAUUUACUAUUAUGCAUAAAAAAUAAGGCUAUAAUUCUAUAUGCUAUAUAAUUUCCCACAUUAUAAAGUAAAUCCCAAAUGGAUUCAUGAUCUAUAUAUUUUAAUUUUCCCAAUGUGAAUGCUUUUAUAAACUACUCAUAUGCUUAAACUAAAGAAAGGACUGGUAAAAAAAAAAAAGUAUAGAUUAAUAUUUUUAUAAUCACGGUGCUAUGGUUUGAAUGUGUCCCCCAAAGUUCAUGUGUUGGAAACGUAAUCUACAAUGCAACAGUGUUGAGAGGUGGGCUCUUACGAGGUGAUAAGGUAAUGAGGGCUCUGCCCCCAAUGGAUUAAUGCCAACAGAGGUGGUUUUGUUAUUGUGGGAAUGUGUCCUUGUGAAGGAGGAACUCGGUCCCCCUUCGUCUCUUUCACCCUCUAGCCUUCUGCCAUGGAAUAAUGCAGCAAGAAGGCCCUUGAAAGAUGCUGGCACCUUGAUAUUGGACUUCGCAGCUUCCAGAAUUUUGAGAAAUAAAUUUCUUUUCUUUAUAAA